rnacentral:rRNA from 1 species
GCUGGGGGAUAACCUCGCGAAAGUGAGAACAAUACCCCAUGGGUCACUAUGCCUGGAGCGGUUAGUGGCUGAAAGCUCCGGCGGCACAGGAUGGGUCUGCGGCGUAUCAGGUCGUAGGGGGUGUAACGUACCUCCUAGCCUUCGACGCGUACGGGUUGUGAGAGCAAUUGCCCGGAGAUGGAUUCUGAGACACGAAUCCAGGCCCUACGGGGCGCAGCAGGCGCGAAAACUUGGCAAUGCGAGAAAUCGUGACCAGGGAACUCCAAGUGGCUGGGGUAAGACCCAGUCUUUUCUUGACUCUUCAAAGGUCUUGGAAUAAGAGGUGGGUAAGACCGGUGCCAGCCGCCGCGGUAAUACCGGCGCCUCAAGUGGUAGUCGAUUUUAUUGGGCCUAAAACGUCCGUAGCCUGUUUGGUACAUUCGUGGGUAAAUCAACCAGCUCAACUGGUUGAAUUCUGCGAGCACGGCCAGACUUGGGACCGGGAGAGGUGUGGGGUACGCUCAGGGUAGGGGUAAAAUCCUGUCAUCCUGAGCGGACCACCUGUUGCGAAGGCGCCACACUAGAACGGAUCUGACGGUCAGGGACGAAGCCUAGGGGCACGAACCGGAUUAGAUACCCGGGUAGUCCUAGGUGUAAACGCUGUGGACUUGGUGUUGGGGAUUCUCAGAGGAUUCUCAGUGCCGAAGCGAAGGUGAUAAGUCCACUGCCUGGGGAGUACG